GUGACUUCGUGUUUCAGAGGCAUUUCGCCUCUCUGCUUUUGGCACCUCCAUGAGUGGACUUUUCUCUUGGGGCUCACAGUAUUUUACCCACUUCAGGGAGGUGGCUGGUUGCAGUUUAGCAAAACAGCCACUGACAUUGCUGCUCCUUCAGCCUCUGCAGAUGGAGCUGCAAGAUCCUCGAGGCCUUUUUAAUCCCCAGAAACAAAGUUCGCAGGAGGCCAGAGCCUUUGGUGGUGGGGAGCGGAGUCAGCAGGGGGAGGGGAGAGGCCUUUAGGAGAGACUGAGCCGCCAGGCCAUCGAGGGAACCUGGGCCAGGGAUGAGGCACUUCAGCCCUCGGAGCAGCUGCAGCAGCAGAGUCUGACCUCCCAGCAAGGAGUGCUGGCUACAGAUUCCUGCUUUUGAGUAAUGAAGGCGACCAAACCACAUGACCCUGCCUGCGAAGAUUCCACCUGGACUCCCGGUUCCUCCAAGGAACUGUCGUGCAUUUCAAAUCCAACAGAAAUUCUCCAAAUCUCUACCCUCCUCAGAGUGCAGAGUUGGCUGCUUUUCUGUGCCCCCCGCUGAUCACCGCAACCCCUGGGUGCCUCGGCCUGCGAAGCCCCAGCUGUCCUCCGUCUGCAGACAAGCCAAGAGGAUGUUCUCAGACCUGAUGGAGUCACUGAGGGACCCUGAUGAGGGCUCUGAGUAGCCCUGGAUGGGAAGGAGACCUCUUCAUCCCCAGGCACAGGGAGACCGGCUUGUGCAAACCACCUGAGAGAGAAAAGAGAACUGGUUAUAAAAAGGAACUGCUUCUCUUAAUGACUCUUCAACUCCAGAGCGACCUGCCCAAGGGCAGGGAGCAGUGGGACUCGGGGAGUUUCUGAAAGCAGGGGCCAUCCAUCGCCUGGCCCUGCCUCUGGCUACGUGCUGCCUUCUGCAGACCUCAUCACUGCUGUCCUCUGUGGCGUUUAAUCAAUGGCCUUUCUAGGGGUUCUGAGUGAUGCUGUCUCUUGUCGGAUGAGAAUCCACCUGCAGUUGCCUCUGGAAGGAGUGUUCCAAAAGAGGGGGGUCCCAGGUUCUCCCUCUGCUGGGAGGGGGGAGGUCACAGGAGACGCUUUGGCCCCUGGGCAGCCCUUGGGGUUCCUGAAACUCCACAGGGUCAGUGACAACAAGGAACAUGCUGCGGACCAGGCUCCUCCAGGCUCAGCCCCAGAGGUGGGACAGAAGAGAUGCCCAGAGCUCUGGGCCCCUGCGAGAUCCAGCUCCCUUGUCCGCUUACAGCCGUGGCUCUGCCAUCACCUACCUGGAACCUGGCAGGCUGUUCUCAUGUCUCCUCUAUCCUUGGUCAUGUCAGCAGCCAAGAAGCCCAGGACCCAAGUCCUCCCUCAUCCCCACUCCAAUCUCCCCCAGCUCUGAGGCAUGAGGACCCCCCCCACCAACUCUUCCUGAUCCCCUUGCCCCCCUCCUACUCCCUGAGUCUGGGGUCCCCUUACUAUCCUCCCUCCAUCUUCUUUUCCCCACAGCAUGGCUACCCUUGCACACGCUCAGUUUCUUGCUCAUUUAUUUAUCUGAGUUCUAGAACGCAUGCUCUGGGCAGCAAGAGCUUUUGUCUGCAGAUUUUUAUCUCAUGUAAAAUAGGCCAUGGCUCUGGAGAGGGAGAAGUGCCACGGCUGGCCACUGGAGAAGUGGCUUAGGGCCAGAGGCACCUGCGUUGGGGGGACAGUGAAGGCUGUGGGGACGGAAGACCAGAGCUCAAGUGCUGCCUGCCUUUAACUUUCUGGACAGGCCACAGGAGAGGCUAGGCGGGGCUCCGUUUCCAAGUGUGGCGAGGAAGUCACUUGUCACCAGGGUUCCCUGCAAUUGAGCCACCCAUUAAUGCAUAAUGAUGUCAGCUCCUGCAAGCCUGUGAAAUAAGUGCCAGGCCAGGGCUUUGAACUCCUGAGCAGCAAGGUGAUUUGUAUGUGCAGAGACCACUCACGAGGAGGCCCUUCAAUACAAGUGUCCCCCCAUAAUCUGGGUUUCUCUCUAGUUUCAGUUCCUGAGCAGGUAAGCAAAUUUCAAAAUAAUUUUUCCAUAAGUCGAUUAUGAGGCAUCGGUGCCAUGGAGGUGUGGCUGACACCUCUGCCCUGGUUGCAUCCUGCAUCCCUGAAGCUCUGUGCUGUGACUCAGUGAGGUAAUUGUCUCUGUACCCCCAUCACUGCCCAGUGGAUGCAGCCAGGGGCAUGGUUUUCUCCCUUAGUUUACAAUGAGAUUAAAGGGGACAUUCAACACUCCUGACUAUAAAGAGACAGAUACAUGCUUUUCUUUUUCUUUUUUUCCUUUUUUCUCUUUUCCUUUCCCUCCUUCUUCCCUGUCUCUGGAAAUCUCUACAUAAAAGGAUGCUCACU